GCCGAUGAGGAUAUUCCAAUUAUGCGAGGUGCAGUGGAGCCGAGACCCUGUUAUCAGGGAGAACCCCUUGGCAGAAACUGCAAUUUCUAUGAAGCUUAUGGACUAACUGAGGC